rnacentral:rRNA from 1 species
ACCAGCACCAUCUGGUAAGCCUAAAUACUACCGGGAGACCGAUAGCGAACCAGUACCGUAAGGGAAAGGUGAAAAGAACCCUGAGCAAGGGAGUGAAAAGACCCUGAAACCGUGCGCCUACAAGCGGUCGGAGCCCCGACGUGUCGGGGUGACGGCGUGCCUUUUGCAUAAUGAGCCUACGAGUUGCUCCUCACUGGCAGCCUAAGCGCCUCAGGCGCGGAAGCGGAGCGAAAGCGAGUCUUAACAGGGCGCUGGUCAGUGGGGGCAGACGCGAAACCGUGUGAUCUAUCCAUGGGCAGGCUGAAGGUGCGAUAGUCUCGCAUUGGAGGGCCGAACCGGUAAACGUUGAAAAGUUUUCGGAUGACCUGUGGAUAGGGGUGAAAGGCCAAUCAAACUCGGAGAUAGCUCGUACUCCCCGAAAUGCAUUUAGGUGCAGCGUCGCGAAG